UACGGAGGGUGCAAACGUUGCUCGGAAUCAUUGGGCGUAAAGCGCACGUAGGCGGUCCAGUGUGUCGGGUGUGAAAGCCCUCGGCUCAACCAAGGAAGUGCAUCCGAAACUGCCGAGCUUGAGUACUUAAGAGGAUCGCGGAAUUCCCGGUGUAGAGGUGAAAUUCGUAGAUAUCGGGAGGAACACCAGUGGCGAAGGCGGCGAUCUGGGAAGAUACUGACGCUGAGGUGCGAAAGCGUGGGGAGCAAACAGG
rnacentral:rRNA from 1 species